ACCUGUUGAUAAGGCGAUUGAACUGUGGGGUUUUAGCAGGGAGUUUGAAGUCCUAUUUGGUGCCAAGCUCCUAAACUGAGAAGGCACAGUAGGCACACAAGUAACUAUUGUUUCUAUGCUCCAAACUUAGAUGUUCUAAGCUCUCCAUGAUUAGGAAAUAUCUAUUGUUUCUGUGCACCAAAUCCAAGUUGCAGGUACCUCCAAGUUUUUAUUUAAUGUUGUUAAUCUACUUCAAUAUCGUCUAGCUACAAGUUGAUGUGAACCUAUGAUUGUGUUAUAUAGGGCUUCAAUCCUAGCAUUGGUCACGUGUUAUGACAGUGUGGUCGAGCAUGAGAUUUGAACCACUAAUUGUGUUAUGUCGAGCUUGUAUAAGCUAUCCUUUAUUAUCUAUCCUUAUUAUCUUCAGAUACAUGUGAUCAGCGAUCAUCUAUAGAGUAAUUUGAACUCUAUGUGCUGUAGACUUUUUACUCAUAACCUCCACAUUCCUAAACUUAUGUUUUUUAAGUUUGAGAUGAUGAUGUGCUUAUGUGAAGUUAAUGCUGACAACAAUACUAUUGGAUGGUAAGCUAAGAUAUUUCAUUUUCAACUAAUAUCAUAUAGAUACUUGGUUAAUUGAGAAUUAGUCGGUUGUGUAUUGCACAACUAAGAAGCAUACAAGUGUUUAUGCCUCUGAUAUGUUUGUCACCUUUUACUGGUCUAGAAUCGAUGAAAACAUUAGCUUUCUUAGCCAUAAGAGUUUUUUGUGCUUCCUUCUAUAUCACUAUUUGUUGGGAACUUUGCGCUUUUAACUAUGGUGGAGCAAUAUGGGCAUGUCGGCGCUACAGAAAGUUGUAGCAGCGGUAGUCCACGAUGUCAACGCUGAGGGCUGGGAUCGAGGAUUGGAGGGGUGAGAGGCGGGCCCGACGACGGUGGGGGUGGGCGUGGGCGUGGAGGAGUGUUCGGUGCUGCGGGAGGUGGUGGUGGCAGCGUAGUCCAUGGCCAUGAUGAUGUGUCUCCAGCUUGAGAAGGCCGAGGUCCAAAUGGAGCUCCACCAGUUCCACUGAGUUUUGCUUAAGUCUUCUGGAUGGCACACUCCUGUCGUACCACAAAUCAGAACCAAUGCGUCAAUAGGCACCGUAGUUGAUAAUAAUAUCUGCCACCCAACAGAAUUUGAUUUCUUCCUGUGCAUCCAUGCUGGGGCCAAGGGAACAAGCCGUCCUACGCAUUACCAUGUGCUACGAGAUGACAACAAGUUCACCGCAGAUGCUCUGCAGUCUCUAACAUAUAACUUGUGCUACAU